rnacentral:rRNA from 1 species
GAGUUUGAUCCUGGCUCAGAGUGAACGCUGGCGGCAGGCCUAACACAUGCAAGUCGAGCGGCAGCGCGGGGCAACCUGGCGGCGAGCGGCGGACGGGUGAGGAAUACAUCGGAAUCUACCCAGUCGUGGGGGAUAACGUAGGGAAACUUACGCUAAUACCGCAUACGACCUGAGGGUGAAAGCAGGGGACCGCAAGGCCUUGCGCGAUUGGAUGAGCCGAUGUCCGAUUAGCUAGUUGGUGAGGUAAAGGCUCACCAAGGCGACGAUCGGUAGCUGGUCUGAGAGGAUGAUCAGCCACACUGGAACUGAGACACGGUCCAGACUCCUACGGGAGGCAGCAGUGGGGAAUAUUGGACAAUGGGCGCAAGCCUGAUCCAGCCAUGCCGCGUGUGUGAAGAAGGCCU